rnacentral:piRNA from 1 species
AAUUACAUUGUGCUUAUAGACCCCAAA